AGAUGAGUAACUCCUCCUUCGCAGGCCCA
rnacentral:piRNA from 1 species